GACGAACGCUGGCGGCGUGCUUAACACAUGCAAGUCGAACGGAAAGGCCCUGCUUUUGUGGGGUGCUCGAGUGGCGAACGGGUGAGUAACACGUGAGUAACCUGCCCUUGACUUUGGGAUAACUUCAGGAAACUGGGGCUAAUACCGGAUAGGAGCUCCUGCUGCAUGGUGGGGGUUGGAAAGUUUCGGCGGUUGGGGAUGGACUCGCGGCUUAUCAGCUUGUUGGUGGGGUAGUGGCUUACCAAGGCUUUGACGGGUAGCCGGGCUGAGAGGGUGACCGGCCACAUUGGGACGGAGAUACGGCCCAGACUCCUACGGGAGGCAGCAGUGGGGAAUAUUGCACUAUGGGAGGAAGCCUGAUGCAGCAACGCCGCGUGGGGGAUGACGGCCUUCGGGUUGUAAACCGCUUUCGCCUGUGACGAAGCGUGAGUGACGGUAAUGGGUAAAGAAGCACCGGCUAACUACGUG
rnacentral:rRNA from 1 species